rnacentral:misc_RNA from 1 species
UAGGUAUUUGGAGGCAAGAUGUGCGGGCACCGGUCGGCCUAUGGAACCACCGUUGUGUGCUCCGUGCAUUACGUCAAACGCAAAUACGCCCUCUAAUCGAUGUGGACUUGCACGCAUCGGUGGGGCUUGAUAAGACAAUCAAGCCUUGGCGGUUUACCUUAACGACGAAGCGAUGAUGACCCGCUGAGGAUGACGAAUCGUGAAGCGAUGAUGACUCAGAGUGCCCCAAAUCGUGAAAUCGUUAGGGUAAACCGCCCGCAUUAGUUGGUUGCGUCUGCUGGCUCCAACUCGGGAGUAGAUUAUCUCUUUUUGAUAAUCUCAAGCCCGGGAUGACGGUUUUCAGUGAGCUAUCCUGGAUCGUUGUCAAUCGGGCUUGCUUGGUUCACAAGCUCGUGAUGGGUACCGUCGCUUGUGGGUUCCGUUGCUACCUGGUCUUGCUUAUAUAUGUGUGUGGUCCGGACUCGUUUCUCAUGCCUCGUUAACGAUUUUGUUAGUGAGCGUUGAUUGGGCUUUGCUUUUGAUCAUUUGGCAUAGCUACGGGGUCGUUUUGUGACUUGAUCUGAUGAUGAUGUUGCCGUGCGUUGAUUAAGCUUUGCUUUUGAUCAAAUGACAUCGUGCGUUGAUUGAGCUUUGCUUUUUGAUCAAAUGGCAUAGCUACGGAGUUGUUGGGUCUUUGUUUCGUCGAGCAACAUGAGAAACCAGUUCCUUCUACGUGGAAAUAUAUAAGCAAGCGAUGAUGCAACGGUACUCACAAGCCACGGUACCCCUGGACCCUUCCUGAUGGACCCGUCCUGAUGACCCUUCCUGACUUUCCCAUCGUUCGGGGCAUUCUGGGGCUGUUUUGGCUAUUGGUUGCUUGUUUGGUCUUGAGCCGAACGGGUGGCUUCUAGUCUGGUGGCUUCGGGGAUGCUGACCGUAAAGGUGGAUGAGUGGUGUUUGGUUUGUUACGUGUGGUUGGCUGCGGCGCUUGCAACAACUUCCAUGCUUUCAGACCUCUUCAGUUGUGCGGCAAGGCUUGUAUCGCCUUGAGCGUAUCGUGGGUUUUCUGUGUUGGCUACCUAAUCAACGGUAUCGGUUGGAUUGAUCAAAGUUUGAUUUCGUCUUCCGUCGCAUUCGCGGCGUGAGGUGAACCUCGAUGCGGUCUCUUUGAUCCACCUCGUCGGAGCACAUGGUUUGACGUUGUGGCGCAUUGAGCAUUGCUUGGUCUCUUGUAUACGGAACAUAUAGUGGGCAUGGAUCUAACGAUUCUCGUUUGCCCUCAUAUUAGCGUAACGCUUCUCUUACACGACUUGCUCCACGUUUUAGCUCGUACGGACGUGGUGCUAGUCGAAGAGA